rnacentral:tRNA from 1 species
GGGGCUAUAGUUAAUAAUAACAUUUGAGUUGCAUUCAAAAAGUAUUACUUAUCGGUAGUUAGUCUCA